AUUAAAAUAAAAUUAACUCGUGAAACGUGACAGAAUCGUGACAUAAAGUAAUGAUAAACAAAGCUCAAAUUCCCAUUAUAUAUAACUUGUACGAAGAAUUAACACUGACAUAACAUUUCAGAUUUGAUUAAACAGAAAUACUUGUUUAUUGUGCCAAAACAAAAAUACAUUUAAUGCAUGCUAUUAAAAUAAUUACACACAAAAAAUCCACGUGGUUUUAAUACUUUCUAAUCUACAUCUAGGCAAAGAAUAGUUUGAGAACCAUCAGGGACUGGAACAAAGAACAACGUCAAAGAAGACAGUGUCAUCGAGGGCUUCAAGAAACGAAAGUUAUAGAUCGAUGAUCUUCUUCGAGUGUGUCCUACACCUGAAGCUCAUCGAGUUCAUCAUCAUUUGACAGUUCCUGGGGAUUCCUCUGUAGCUGUACAAACUCCAACAACGGUGGUGCUGAUCGGCGAAUUUUGUUUAAAAACUCAUAAAUACAGGUAUAUGGACAUGCUUUAUAUAUAGUGCAAGUUCAUUUUAAGCUUGAACACAAGUAUAUACUAUGUAUAAUAUAUAGAUAGUUUAAUUUUUAUAAUUAAUUUUGUUAUUAAGCUGCACUUAAUUUCACAUUAUGCAUUCUACAUGUAGGUGCAGUCCCAUAAGAGUACUUGUCAUUAUCAAUGCAUGUAAAAUUCACGGGAAUUAUAUAAUUAAUCUUCAUAAUAACAUAAUUAUUCCAUGUUUCUGUAAUAUGAUUUUUGCUUUUUACCGUGUAAUAUAGUUUGUUUAUCGUGUUGUUGACCACAAUUGAUUAUAAUAAUAGAUAAAUUGAUGCAACAUUAA